GCUCAGGUGGCGGAAUUGGUAGACGCGCUAGACUAAGGAUCUAGUGCCGAGAGGCGUGGGGGUUCGAGUCCCCCCUCGAGCACCA
rnacentral:tRNA from 1 species